CGUAGAACGCAAAAAAUACUUUCAUCAUCAUUUGUAAUCAAUUUUAUCAAGAUACAAGUGCCAACAAAAUGAUCUUUGGGCUGCAGACACUUAGCAUCAACUGCCAAGAGCCCGUCUUAUCCUGCCGCUUAGUACAUAUUUUGCAACGACGAGCGUCCCUUUGGCCGCAAGUUGCAACCUCUUCUGAACCUUAACAAAUAGCGACGAAAAUUGCAACAAAUGUGUUACGAAUGGUUCGUGAUCGUGGCAUGACAGAAUGUCGCCGGCAACAACAGGCCAGGCGAGCUGGGCUGGAGAAUUGUAGACCAAUGAGGAAAUCGUUACCUUGGCUUAAACCACUUAAACAUCACGAGUUGAACUCUUAACAGCCUGGGACUGCAGUCGAAACUUUGGCCAACGCUGGGAGAAGACUUUUGCCGCGCUCCGCUGAUGUUGAUGAGGAGGAGAUGACGACGACGACAACAAAGAAGUUGACAACAGCAACUGCAGAUACAGUGCGGAAAAGUCCUAGCAAGAUCGUAAUUCUAUCAAAUUCUUAAACUGAAUCAAUUUGGAUUUUUAACUGUGACCACAAGAAAUGGUUCCCAUAAUUUUGAUCCAUCUGCCUCAUAUAUUUUCAAUUUUGUAUUACCAAGCAAUCUGAACGGUACACUACAAUAUAGUAGGCUUGAGGAUUGGUAAACUAUAACUCAAAAGCCAAAAUAAAUUAUCUACCUAAAUCUGAGCAAA